rnacentral:rRNA from 1 species
GCGUAUAUUAAAGUUGUUGCGGUUAAAAAGCUCGUAGUUGGAUUUCUUUUUAGGAUGGCCGGUCCGCACUAUGGGCGUGUAUUUGGUUCAGCCUUGGCAUCCUUUUGAGGAACGUAUCUACGCUUGAUUGCGUGGAGCGGUAUUCAAGACUUUUACUUUGAGGAAAUUAGAGUGUUCACGGCAGGCAAGCGCCUUGAAUACAUUAGCAUGGAAUAAUAAUAUAGGAUCUUGG